rnacentral:rRNA from 1 species
UGCGAACGCUGGCGGCAUGGCUAAAACAUGCAAGUCGAACGAGAACCCCGCAAGGGGGGACAGUGGCGAAAGGGUGAGUAAUGCGUUUCUAUGUACCCCGAGGUCGAGGAUAGCCAGGGGAAACUCUGAUUAAUACUCGAUGUGGUCCGCAAGGAUCAAAGGCUUGCCGCCUUGGGGGCAGGGAACGUCCUAUCAGGUAGUUGGUGAGGUAACGGCUCACCAAGCCGAAGACGGGUAGCGGGUGUGAGAGCACGACCCGCCACAUCGGGACUGAGACACUGCCCGGACUCCUACGGGAGGCUGCAGUAACGAAUCUUCCGCAAUGGACGAAAGUCUGACGGAGCAAUGCCGCGUGCAGGAUGAAGCCCUUCGGGGUGUAAACUGCUGUCAGGGUUCAGCAACACAAUGAGCAGAUCCAAAGGAAGAGCCGACUAACUCUGUGCCAGCAGUCGCGGUAAUACAGAGGGCUCGAGCGUUGCGCGGAGUCACGU